CGAGAGAUCGGCGCGGGCAGGCAUUUCGCCAACUCGGUCAGGUCCGGAAGGAAGCAGCCGCAACGAAUCCCGUCUGGGUCGUGUCCGGUCUCUCACCC
rnacentral:SRP_RNA from 1 species